CCCCGGGCGCUCCUCCGGGUGCAGCCCCUUCCGGCCCCGCAGGCUCCGCCCCAGGUUAGACACACGGCACGCUGGCCUCGUUCGCGCCCUUCCCCGGCAGAAGCGCCAUCGUGGUCUGAUCACCAAAACGCCAGCUCUUCCUUCCUGAGCGUCUCCUGGUGGAUCGCUGGCUCCUACGCCAGCCCCUGGCCCCGUCCUGGUCAUUUCCUGCCGGGGUCAUCGGCCGCCCUCUCCAGUCGUUCUUCAGCAGCGAUGGUUUGAACGUGCAAAUCCGAGAGCCUCUGCAGGAGCAGCUCCUCUCCUGGCGGGCCCCAGGGGCGUCACCUGUGUUCACCUCUUUCGUUCUAUGUCACGCCUCCCUGAGGCCUUCCCAGAUGACCCAUCUAAAACAGCACCGAUCCAGCCCAACUCAAUGCCACCCCCCGGGAGCCACUCCGGAGGCUGGGGAGUUACUAUCUCUCUUGCUGACAUGCAUCGCAAAAUGCGUGCUGGCUCGGGUACUCAGGUGAGUCCUGCGGGGUCACUGUGAGAGCGCCCCCUGGUGCCCGGCCGGGCAGCACGUGCUCCUGGGCCCCAGGCUCUCCCAAGCUUCCUCUGCACACGGCACCCUCAUACCUCCUGAUCCUUCUACAGUGGCCCUGGGACCGAGACACGCCCGGCACUUCCGUUUAUUAAGUAGUUAGGAUCACACAAUUUGAAAAGUAUUUAUGGGACGACAGUGCAGCCGUCCCUUGAAAAGUUAAGCAUAGGGGCGCCUGGGUGGCUCAGUCCGUGAAGCCUCCCACUCUUGAUUUCAGCUCAGGUCAGGAUCUCACGGUUUGUGAGAUCGAGCCCCGCAUCGGGCUCUGUGCCUGUCAGUGCGGAGCCUGCUUGGGAUGCUCUCUCUCUCCCUCUCUCUGCCCCUCCCCUGCUCAUGCUCUCUCUCUCCCUCUCUCUCUCUCUCUCUCAAAAUAAACAAGUACACAUUUUUGUAAAUUAAAAAGAACUGUUAAGCAUAAAAUUACCACGUGACCCAGCGAAUUCACCUAAGUGUCUACCCAACAGAACUGAAAACAGGAAUUCAAACAAAACUUUGUACACAAGUGUUCCUGGCAACAUUAUUCACAAGAGCAAGAGGUUGUAGCACCCCAGGUGUCCAUCGGUGGGUGAGUGAAUAACAGAACGUGGUAAAGACGGGCAGUGGGAGGAAGGGGCCUUGGUCCUCACGCUCGCGGGCCUGGCCUGCAAGGCGUUUUAUUUCCCAGGGCGAGCACGGGCCUGGAGCUGGUGGCUGCCGAUAAGGCUGUCUGCUCUGGGCGCAAAGAUCAGGACCAGAUCUCCCGUCAAUCAUGGUGAUCUUAGCGGCAAAGCGGGGACUGGCCCCAUCUCAUCUAUGGCCAGAGAUGGGCCCAGGGGGGUCCAGAAACACAGCCAAAUGGUCCUUUCAAGCAGACGAUGCCUACUUCUGGUAGUGUCCCCAAAGCAGAGCUGGCGUCCGAAAGCAGGUCAGCAGAUCCCAACAACGGAGUGGGACCAGGAGGCGACCCGUAGUCUCUGGUUUGUUUUUACUGGACACGCAGGGCAGCUCUGCCCGGCUGGCCGGGUAGCUGGCGAGCCUCCCUCACCUGUGUGCUCACAGCCUUGGUGGGGAGGUGCCCACGGAUGAUGAGGAACCGGGCGGAACCGUAGGGCAGG